rnacentral:rRNA from 1 species
UACGGAGGGUGCGAGCGUUGUCCGGAAUCACUGGGCGUAAAGGGCGCGUAGGUGGCUCACGCAAGCGUGCGGUGAAAGCCCGGGGCUCAACCCCGGGUCGGCCGUGCGGACUGCGGGGCUCGAGCACUGUAGGGGCAGAUGGAAUUCCGGGUGUAGCGGUGAAAUGCGCAGAUAUCAGGAGGAACACCGGUGGCGAAGGCGGGUCUCUGGGCCGAUACUGACGCUGAGGAGCGAAAGCGUGGGGAGCGAACAGG